CCUCAUGCGGCAUGCCAGACCACAUACUGGAGGGCUGUGGAUACAAAGACGGAUGAAAGAAGCAUUGUCAAGGAGGCACUAACGGUGCAAAGCACCGAUGCUGUGAGGUAGCAUGCAUGGACAGCACUCUCUGUGGGACUGAUUACUGUUACCAGGAAGGACAGAGGACGCAGGAGAGGCCUCAUGGAAGAGGUUAUAUCAGUCAGGGCCUUCCUGGCAGAACACAGAACACACUGGAAAGGAAUGAUGAGCAGAGCCUAAAGAAGGGACCAGGUACAGACGUGUGGGCAGUGCCAUGAGAGCCAACAGGUCCCCGGGAGCAGCAGAAAGCUGCAAUACCUCUAGGCCUGAGGAGCCAAGUGGACGCAGGUGUGAUUGGAUCUUUACCUUGAGCAUGUAACUGACUCCACCAUGGAAGGGAAUGAAAGGGGAAGAAACUGGAGAUCAGGAACCCAAUGGCAACAUCACUGCAGUAAGUGCAGUAGAGAUGGGAGGACUUGAACCACGAGGGAAGUGAUGUUGGAGGAAAAGGGCGUGAGGGAAGAAGCCAUUGCAGCCUGAAAAUAACAAAACCAGGACCGCAGAAGGGAAGGCGUCUGCACUGUCGUCCCAGCAGCAGCAUCGCAGCAAUCUGGCGUUGGAGCAGACAUUUAAGUUCCUCUACUAAACAGUGAGACGGUAAUCUUGGCAUUGCCACCUUACGGGGUUUUACGGUCAGGUUCAAAUAACACAAGUACUUUGUAAAAGUGAAGAGUAAGACAAAGGAAACGUCGAAUUGGAGUCAUUGUCAUGGCUAGUGAGGCCUUGCUGAUGAGAAUGGUUUUGUGACACCAUGAAGUUGUAAUAAAAAGAUGAAUCAACUCA